AGGACGAACGCUGGCGGCAUGCCUAAUACAUGUAAGUCGAGCGGAAUGAAGAGAGCUUGCUCUCUGAUUUUAGCGGCGGACGGGUGAGUAACACGUGGGCAACCUGCCCUACAGAUGGGGAUAACUCCGGGAAACCGGGCUAAUACCGAAUAAUCAGUGUGUCCGCAUGGACGCACUCUGAAAGACGGUUUCGGCUGUCACUGUAGGAUGGGCCCGCGGCGCAUUAGCUAGUUGGUGGGGUAAUGGCCUACCAAGGCAACGAUGCGUA
rnacentral:rRNA from 1 species